CCCUUAGAUGUUCUGGGCUGCACGCGCGCUACACUGAUGCGCUCAACGAGUUUUAACCUUGCCUGGAAAGGUUGGGUAAUCUUUUUAAAACGCAUCGUGAUGGGGAUAGAUUAUUGCAAUUAUUAAUCUUCAACGAGGACUGCCUAGUAAGCGCAAGUCAUCAGCUUGCGUUGAUUACGUCCCUGCCCUUUGUACACACCGCCCGUCGCUCCUACCGAUUGAAUGGUCCGGUGAAGCGUUUGGACUAUGGUUUUCUGAUGGUCCGCCGUUGGAUUACCGUGGGAAGUUCGUUAAACCUUAUCAUUUAGAGGAAGGAGAAGUCGUAACA
rnacentral:rRNA from 1 species